GUUAAGCGACUAAGCGUACACGGUGGAUGCCCUGGCAGUCAGAGGCGAUGAAGGACGUGCUAAUCUGCGAUAAGCGUCGGUGAGGUGAUAUGAACCGUUAUAACCGGCGAUUUCCGAAUGGGGAAACCCAGUGUGUUUCGACACACUAUCAUUAACUGAAUCCAUAGGUUAAUGAGGCGAACCGGGGGAACUGAAACAUCUAAGUACCCCGAGGAAAAGAAAUCAACCGAGAUUCCCCCAGUAGCGGCGAGCGAACGGGGAGGAGCCCAGAGCCUGAAUCAGUGUGUGUGUUAGUGGAAGCGUCUGGAAAGGCGUGCGAUACAGGGUGACAGCCCCGUACACAAAAAUGCACAUAUUGUGAGCUCGAUGAGUAGGGCGGGACACGUGGUAUCCUGUCUGAAUAUGGGGGGACCAUCCUCCAAGGCUAAAUACUCCUGACUGACCGAUAGUGAACCAGUACCGUGAGGGAAAGGCGAAAAGAACCCCGGCGAGGGGAGUGAAAAAGAACCUGAAACCGUGUACGUACAAGCAGUGGGAGCCUCUUAAUGGGGUGACUGCGUACCUUUUGUAUAAUGGGUCAGCGACUUAUAUUCUGUAGCAAGGUUAACCGAAUAGGGGAGCCGAAGGGAAACCGAGUCUUAACUGGGCGUUAAGUUGCAGGGUAUAGACCCGAAACCCGGUGAUCUAGCCAUGGGCAGGUUGAAGGUUGGGUAACACUAACUGGAGGACCGAACCGACUAAUGUUGAAAAAUUAGCGGAUGACUUGUGGCUGGGGGUGAAAGGCCAAUCAAACCGGGAGAUAGCUGGUUCUCCCCGAAAGCUAUUUAGGUAGCGCCUCGUGAAUUCAUCUCCGGGGGUAGAGCACUGUUUCGGCAAGGGGGUCAUCCCGACUUACCAACCCGAUGCAAACUGCGAAUACCGGAGAAUGUUAUCACGGGAGACACACGGCGGGUGCUAACGUCCGUCGUGAAGAGGGAAACAACCCAGACCGCCAGCUAAGGUCCCAAAGUCAUGGUUAAGUGGGAAACGAUGUGGGAAGGCCCAGACAGCCAGGAUGUUGGCUUAGAAGCAGCCAUCAUUUAAAGAAAGCGUAAUAGCUCACUGGUCGAGUCGGCCUGCGCGGAAGAUGUAACGGGGCUAAACCAUGCACCGAAGCUGCGGCAGCGACACUAUGUGUUGUUGGGUAGGGGAGCG
rnacentral:rRNA from 1 species